rnacentral:misc_RNA from 1 species
ACACCUCAACUCUCAUGGUUUACCAUGAUGGGCUUGGACUUUGGAGGUCUUGCUGGCCAGUGGGCCAGCUCCUCUCAAAUGAAUUGGCUUGCCAGUGUUUGGUGGCAUCACGGGUGUGAUAACUAUCUACGCUUGUGGUUUUCCACCAGGUAACCUUCAGUGAUGGAGGUUCGCUGGAGCUCAUAAAUGUCUCUCCUCAGUGGGGACAGCUCUCUGAAC